CGCUAUCACUCCUACGGGGGCAGCAGUGGGGAAUAUUGCACAAUGGGGGAAACCCUGAUGCAGCCAUGCCGCGUGUGUGAAGAAGGCCUUCGGGUUGUAAAGCACUUUCAGUAGGGAGGAAGGUAGUGUAGUUAACACCUGCACUAUUUGACGUUACCUACAGAAGAAGCACCGGCUAACUCCGUGCCAGCAGCCGCGGUAAUACGGAGGGUGCGAGCGUUAAUCGGAAUUACUGGGCGUAAAGCGCAUGCAGGCGGCCUGUUAAGUCAGAUGUGAAAGCCCGGGGCUUAACCUCGGAAUUGCAUUUGAAACUGGCAGGCUAGAGUCUUGUAGAGGGGGUAGAAUUUCAGGUGUAGCGGUGAAAAUGCGUAGAGAUCUGAAGGAAUACCAGUGGCGAAGGCGGCCCCCUGGACAAAGACUGACGCUCAGAUGCGAAAGCGUGGGGAGCAAACAGGAUUAGAUACCCUGGUAG
rnacentral:rRNA from 1 species